rnacentral:tRNA from 1 species
AUCUCAUUGGCUUAAUGGUAAAGCAAAAUACUUCUAAUAUUUGUAUUCUAGUUCGAUUCUGGAAUGAGGUU